GCCUUCUUGUGGUCUGUCAAAUAAAUAAACAAAAUCUUAAAAAAAAAAAAAGGAUGCAAGGACCCUAACAGCUGAGUUCACAAAUACGUGAAAAAGCCAAAAGAACUAAGGGGAGGAAGAGGCAGACCCACAACUACAUGUGGAGGUUUCAACUCUCCUCUUGGCCUGUAAACAGUGGCUCACAGAGCGAGGAAUCUGGAAACUCAGGAAGGAUGCCUCGAAUGUGAACACCACUACCCACCAGUUCCAGCUCAUCCACAGUGGAAUGCAUCCUGCAGCGCGCCUGGAACAUUCUCCACGAGCAGCUGCAUGCCCAGUUACCAUCUGCUGAACACACCUGCAAGGACAGAAAUCCUACAGAGCAUAUCCCAUGACUACAACAGAAUUAAACAAGAAAACCCGACUACAGAUGCCAAACAUAAUGGAUGACCAGGAUGGUGCCAAUUUCAGAGCACUGCCCCGGACACCUACCCAGGAUGAGAGCAGCUCUGGAGCUUCAUCUCCCAGAGUCCACAGAUGACAUCAGGGUCCCCCUGAUGGGGCAUGCUCUGUGGGUCUGGACGAGGGCAGCAGGACAGGCACCCACCACUGCAGUAUCACUGAGUUGCUUCCCAGCCCCCACAUGCCCCGUGCUCCCUGUUCGCCCUCCUCCCCCCACCCCCCAGCCCCCACAACCACAAGUCUUGUCACUGCCCCCGUGGUUCUGCCUUUCCGGGGAUGUCCCACAGUUGGAUGCUCACUCAUUUUUUGAUAUUUACGUAGUAAAGAAAUGAUGCAGCUUUUUCA